rnacentral:rRNA from 1 species
UGGGGGAUAUUGCACAAUGGGCGAAAGCCUGAUGCAGCGACGCCGCGUGGGGGAUGAAGGCCUUCGGGUUGUAAACUUCUUUUGCUCUGAACAAGGCAUGCUAAUGGGUGUGUUGAGUGUAGGGGUUGAUUAGCGCCGGCUAACUACGUGCCAGCAGCCGCGGUAAUACGUAGGGCGCGAGCGUUGUCCGGAAUUAUUGGGCGUAAAGGGCUUGUAGGUGGCUGGUUGCGUCUGUCGUGAAAGCUCAUGGCUUAACUGUGGUUUGCGGUGGGUACGGGCUGGCUUGAGUGCAGUAGGGGAGGCUGGAAUUCCUGGUGUAGCGGUGGAAUGCGCAGAUAUCAGGAGGAAUACCGGUGGCGAAGGCGGGUCUCUGGGCUGUUACUGACACUGAGGAGCGAAAGCAUGGGGAGCGAACAGG